UCAUUAAUGUGUACUACUAACACAUCAGACUAAAAAUCUGAGAGAUGUCGGUUCAAAUCCCACUUAAGGAU
rnacentral:tRNA from 1 species